rnacentral:rRNA from 1 species
AUGCCACACCUUCCCAACAUCAGGACACUUUCCCUGACGAUCGUCACGAUUCUUCGAUUUCUCCGCUCUCCAAUUGGUGAAAUUGUCUUUUGCUUCCUUAGGCGAUGCCCGAACCUAACUCUGCUUCACAUCGAUCUAUCGACGCUGCACCAGUUUACAAGGCAGGAUCCGCAUUAUCUUGUGUUUCCGGAUGAUGAUGCUGAAACUAAACCUGCAAAGCCAUGUCAAGACCGUGAAUACGAUCCGCCUAAAGCACACAAAUACCAAUUACAACUAGCUUCUCUUCGAAAGAUAAGAAUCAGUGGCUUUGCCGGAACGGAUGCUGAGAUGGAGCUCGCCGAUCUUCUUUUCGGAAUUGGAGCCGAGCGGUCGGCGCUCGAGAGGAUAUUUAUAUCAUCAUUUGCACAGCUGAAGGAUCGCAUUGGCAGGAUCGCCCAGAAGAUGAGGGCUCGGUUCCCUCUUGCAGGAGGGCGCUGGGAAACCUCCCCCUUGGAAGAGAUCACGUGGACGAAGAACAAUGACGGACUGGAAAGAUCAAAUGCUCUUAGAUCAACAAUCAUAACGUAG